CUGCUCCAGCUCACGCCAGGCAUCCAGGUGGUUCCGCAGGCUGGACAGGCGGAGUUGGCUCCGCUCUGCCGAGCCCAAGGUACUCCCGACGCCGUGGUUUGAGGCCCAGCGAGAUGUCACACUGGCUGCCAGUCCGGUCUCGUUCUGUGUGCGCGCUGAGGAUGUUUCCUGAUGUGUUCCAGAUGUGUUCCAGAUGUGUUCCAGAACGGGCCCCGCAGCUUUCGAGGACAGCGGAGGAAGGAGAGUGCAGAGUGCAAUGAGGUCACCCCUCAGCCUCCCUCCCUCCGAAGCAGACAAGUACAGAGUUCUCAGCUGCUCAUCACAGGAAUACAGGAGUCCCUGCUGUCCCCACAACAUGGCAUGGGAUCACCGUGGCUAUGCCCCAGGAAUCUGCAUGAACUGGCAGCAGGACAGCCCUGCUGAGCCCCAGGAGAGCGUGUGAGACCUGGGGGACUCCAACACUUCAUCAGCACCGUCCCUGGCAGCAGGACAAGGGCUCCAUGUGCUGGCACACGGGACAGCUUGUGCCCAUGGACUGUGGCAGCCUCAGGACAGAGGUCUGACGUCAGUGUCACACGGCUGCUGUUGAUGCUGAUUAUUUCCAUGCUAGCACCUUAUGGAAUAACAACUGAUUCUGCUGUUUCUACCCCAAUUCUGCUGCUCACGAACGCUGAGAUAAAAGCACUGCGUGCCUGCAGAGUUCAUUACCCAGCAGGGUCCCCAAGCUGGCAGGCACACACCCCACAGCCUGUGACACCUCUGCUCCGUGAAGAAAGCACAGCUGCUCCUCCAAGCACCUUCACCCUCCGAGAGCCCUGCAGGCAGCAAGAACUCCUCGGGCAUGGAACAGAGCAUGCAGGCAUACAAGCAGUAGCUGUCAGUACGAGGAGCUUCACUUCCCCGUGAUGCAGGGGGCACCCUGCAGCCUCACAAGCACGAGGAACAGAGCUGGCUGUGAGACUCGCACAGCUUUGUGUCUUGUUCAUGUGUGAUCUCUUGACCUUCUCCUCUCCCGGGGCUUCUGAGCUUUCAAAGUACAGUGAUGCUCAAGGUAGUCUGGGAUGACAGUGCCUUCUCUGAAUUGUCUAUGAGGUUUGUCCCCAUGGCACAGGCAUCACUCCUUUUCUGUAAAAAUAACCUUUUACAAGGCUGUGUCUUAUCUGGGGAGGAAAAGUGCACAUCCUACGUCUGAGGUGUGGGAGGGAGGAAAGCAGGUAAAUGAGUGUUCAGGGGAUAGCUCAAAACUGACAGGAAUCAGGCCAUUUUCAGAGGUCCAGCCCUCCAGCUAACCUUCCACCAGCAGCAUUUAACCAGCUCCUCUGCUGGAGGAAGGGGGAUGUUCUGAGCGAUGGUGUUCAUCUUCCCAAGUCACUGUCACAUGUGAUGGAGCCCUGGUCCCCCAGAGAAGGCUGAACACCCACCCACCCAUGGGAAGCAGAAUUCAUUCCUUGCUUUGCUUUUCUUGCGUGCACACCUUUUACUUUCCCAACUGAACUCAUUCCAAAGUUCUCUCCCUUUUACCCUUCCAGUUCUCUUCCCAAUCCUGCUGACAGGGCAGUGAGGGAGUGGCUGUGAGGGGUUUGGCUGCUGACUGGGGUUAAACCUCGACAGGCAAAGCCUCAGCCCUGCCUUUGACACUUCUUGCAGAGCAAGGUUACAGGAACCAAAUACCACAAGGUAAUUUAGGUGGGGAACUUGCAGCACACGAGAUAAUAUCAGGCUUUCACCUAGCAAGUGAUAAGAGCAGGCACAACAGGCAGUUCUUACAAAGCAGCUUACACUUCCUUAAUUACACACCAGCAUAUUUUGCAUCUCUUAACCUGCCCUAGUUUCUCCUGGUAAAGCACUCCUUGAACUGUUGGGGGGUGAGGGGUUUUAAUAUUUUUCUUAUUUGCUAUGUUGAGGUAAACACCAAAGUAUGAUUUAUGGGACCAAGACACAAAGUUGGUCACACCAAUAAAUAAAUGAAAUUCUUAUAUAGCAAUGAAACAAUUUUCAUUUCACCUCAGUAAUAACUGAUUUUAAAAAAAGUCCUUGCCUUCAGGUGCACCAUUGAUAUAGAAUCCUCUCAUCUGGUUUAAUUACUCAAAGAUACUGCAUAGUACUUUAGGACAGUAGUUAUGUAAGUGUGUGUGUAUGUGUGUAUAUUUAUAUUUCUAUAUACACACAUUUGUAUUUAUAUGGCUGAUCAUAUGUUCACCUUUGGAUUUAUUUAUUCUUACUUAGGGGCUUUUCCAAGCAAUGUGUUGACUGACAUACUAGUAACUCCAAUCUAAAAGUGCUCAUAACUUAUAAAUCAAUUGCUCUGAAAAUUAAUGAGUGUACUGAGCCUCUCACAGACCUGUGUUAAACUUUCAGUUUGAGCUAAACCUCAGCUC